rnacentral:rRNA from 1 species
GACGAACACUGGCGGCGUGCCUAAUACAUGCAAGUCGAGCGGAAUGAUGAAGAAGCUUGCUUCUUCUGAUUUUUAGCGGCGGACGGGUGAGUAACACGUGGGCAACCUACCUUGUAGAUUGGGAUAACUCCGGGAAACCGGGGCUAAUACCGAAUAAUCCAUUUUGCUUCAUGGCGAGAUGUUGAAAGACGGUUUCGGCUGUCACUAUAAGAUGGGCCCGCGGCGCAUUAGCUAGUUGGUAGGGUAAUGGCCUACCAAGGCGACGAUGCGUAGCCGACCUGAGAGGGUGAUCGGCCACACUGGGACUGAGACACGGCCCAGACUCCUACGGGAGGCAGCAGUAGGGAAUCUUCCACAAUGGACGAAAGUCUGAUGGAGCAACGCCGCGUGAGUGAAGAAGGUUUUCGGAUCGUAAAACUCUGUUGUAAGGGAAGAACACGUACGAGAGUAACUGCUCGUACCUUGACGGUACCUUAUUAGAAAGCCACGGCUAACUACGUG